UGCGUAGGCGGACUAAUAAGUCAGUGGUGAAAUCUCUCGGCUCAACCGGGAAACUGCCAUUGAUACUGUUAGUCUUGAGUUCGGUUGAGGUAGGCGGAAUGUGUAAUGUAGCGGUGAAAUGCUUAGAUAUUACACAGAACACCAAUUGCGUAGGCAGCUUACUAGACCGACACUGACGCUAAGGCACGAAAGCGUGGGUAGCGAACAGGAUUAGAUACCCUGGUAGUCC
rnacentral:rRNA from 1 species